GCCACAAUGCUCCCAGCCAUGAUGACAUUGGACUAAACCUCUGAAACUCGGAGCAGGCCUUUAUCCACAAAGCCACUGCCUAAUCUCCCUCAGAAGAACUCUCUGCAUGGAGACCACCAACCCAGCUACCCAAGCCAAGCGAGCAGCCUCUACACAGUCAAGUGAGACUCUCAUCCCUGUGGGAAGCAGCCAGAGCUCAUCUCUCCCCAUCUCCCCUUCUGCUGUGGGCAAAUCCAACCCAUACACCCCCACUUCGUUCUUGGCCCUUCUGCAUCCCCCCAGCAGUGUUCGAGAACCAGCCUGAGAACUAGCCAGUUCCUGGCUACCUUUUGGCCUGAGGACCCCCAAGCCAAGAGCUCUAGCUCCCCAUGGGACCUCAGACUGCACUCCCCAACCCUGAGGUGUCGGGAGAGCACAGUCAACUUCCCAUGCCUCUGUCCCCUCAAGAGGCCUUAGCCCUGUGGCAAGACAGACAGGGGACCCACACAUCAACCCAACAUAUGCAGUCUUGCCUUUCUGCUUUCCACCAUGAACUGUAUGAGGCCUCAACCCUAUGCUGCUUCUUGAACAGUGAGCCUUACAGUUUGCCUGGUCUCCAAUAUUCCACCAUCCUAUGACGAACUGACCAAGUUUACUGCCUCAGUUUAUAUUCACCAGGACCAAGAACUUGUACCUCCAAGCGCUAAGUGGCUGAUUUGCUGAUGCUCAGAGGUAACUCAGGCCUUAGACCAUAAUACGUGUUCAAAUCAUGGCUGGAGUUCCCAUCUUGCUGUGAAACAAGACUGCUCUCAAAUAUA